AGCGAACGCUGGCGGCAGGCUUAACACAUGCAAGUCGAACGGGCUUCUUCGGAAGUCAGUGGCAGACGGGUGAGUAACACGUGGGAACGUGCCCUUCGGUUCGGAAUAACUCAGGGAAACUUGAGCUAAUACCGGAUACGCCCUUAUGGGGAAAGGUUUACUGCCGAAGGAUCGGCCCGCGUCUGAUUAGGUUGUUGGUGGGGUAACGGCCUACCAAGGCGACGAUCAGUAGCUGGUCUGAGAGGAUGAUCAGCCACACUGGGACUGAGACACGGCCCAGACUCCUACGGGAGGCAGCAGUGGGGAAUAUUGGACAAUGGGCGCAAGCCUGAUCCAGCCAUGCCGCGUGAGUGAUGAAGGCCUUAGGGUUGUAAAGCUCUUUUGUCCGGGACGAUAAUGACGGUACCGGAAGAAUAAGCCCCGGCUAACUUCGUG
rnacentral:rRNA from 1 species